AACGGUCUAUACCUGCGGUACCUGCGGAAGGAUCAUUGCGAAUUGGAGGAUGGUGGUGGGAAGAUUGGAGGUGGUUGGGCCUGAGCCUUGGCUUGAGCUUUGACACUAUUCAAUGCAACCACUGAUUCCAUACAUAUGCACGAGUUGUGGUGGUUGGGAAGAUUGGAUGUAGUUAGACGUUACAACACGUUGAAUUGCAAUCAAUAUCCAUACCAGCCACACUCAUGUUUACGCUUGUUU
rnacentral:misc_RNA from 1 species